rnacentral:rRNA from 1 species
CCUACGGGUGGCAGCAGUGAGGAAUAUUGGUCAAUGGCCGAAAGUCUGAACCAGCCAAGCAGCGUGAAGGAUGAAUGCCCUAUGGGUCGUAGACUUCUUUUGUCGGGGGAUAAAACGAGGGACGUGUGCCUUUCUGCAUGUACUUUAUGAAUAAGCAUCGGCUAACUCCGUGCCAGCAGCCGCGGUAAUACGGAGGAUCCGAGCGUUAUCCGGAUUCAUUGGGUUUAAAGGGUGCGUAGGUGGGGUGUUAAGUCGGCUGUGAAAGUUUGGGGCUCAACCGCAGAAGUGCAGUUGAUACUGGGAGCCUUGAGUGCAGCGGAGGUAUGCGGAAUUCGUGGUGUAGCGGUGAAAUGCAUAGAUAUCACGAAGAACCCCGAUUGCGAAGGCAGCUUACCAAGCCGCGACUGACGUUGAGGCUCGAAAGUGUGGGGAUCAAACAGGAUUAGAUACCCCAGUAGUC